rnacentral:rRNA from 1 species
CCUACGGGAGGCAGCAGUGGGGAAUAUUGGACAAUGGGCGAAAGCCUGAUCCAGCAAUGCCGCGUGAGUGAUGAAGGCCUUCGGGUCGUAAAGCUCUUUUACCAGGGAUGAUAAUGACAGUACCUGGAGAAUAAGCUCCGGCUAACUCCGUGCCAGCAGCCGCGGUAAUACGGAGGGAGCUAGCGUUGUUCGGAAUUACUGGGCGUAAAGAGUACGUAGGCGGUUAUUCAAGUCAGAGGUGAAAGCCCGGGGCUCAACCCCGGAACUGCCUUUGAAACUAGAUAACUAGAGUCUUGGAGAGGUUAGUGGAAUUCCGAGUGUAGAGGUGAAAUUCGUAGAUAUUCGGAAGAACACCAGUGGCGAAGGCGACUAACUGGACAAGUACUGACGCUGAGGUACGAAAGCGUGGGGAGCAAACAGGAUUAGAUACCCUGGUAGUCCACGCCGUAAACGAUGAUAACUAGUUGUUCGGUCACUUGGUGACUGAGUGACGNAGCUAACGCAUUAAGUUAUCCGCCUGGGGAGUACGGUCGCAAGAUUAAAACGUUAAAGGAAUUGACGGNUGAAGAGUGCGAGACGACGACGAGGAGAGG